UUCGGUCUGGCGACGAGCGGCGAACGGCUGAGUAACGCGUAGGAAUGUGCCCCAAAGUGAGGAAUAAGCAUCGGAAACGGUGUCUAAUGCCGCAUAUGAUCUUCGGAUUAAAGGAUUUAUCCGCUUUGGGAGCAGCCUGCGUACGAUUAGAUAGUUGGUGAGGUAAAGGCUCACCAAGUCGACGAUCGUUAGCUGGUCUGAGAGGAUGACCAGCCAGACUGGAACUGAGACACGGUCCAGACUCC
rnacentral:rRNA from 1 species